AGUCAAGUAAUUAAGUGCAUGUGGUGGAUGCCUUGGCAGUCAGAGGCGAUGAAAGACGUGAUAGCCUGCGAAAAGCUCCGGGGAGGCGGCAAAUAUCCUUUGAUCCGGAGAUGUCUGAAUGGGGGAACCCACCUACUUUAAGGUAGGUAUUGCAACAUGAAUACAUAGUGUUGCAAGGCGAACGAGGGGAAGUGAAACAUCUCAGUACCCUUAGGAAAAGAAAUCAAUUGAGAUUCCCUCAGUAGCGGCGAGCGAACGGGGAUCAGCCCAUUAAGUUAUGUGUGUUUUAGUGGAACGCUCUGGGAAGUGCGAACGUAGAGGGUGAUAUUCCCGUACACGAAAGGGCACACAUAAUGAUGACGAGUAGGGCGAGGCACGUGAAACCUUGUCUGAAUAUGGGGGGACCAUCCUCCAAGGCUAAAUACUCCUGACUGACCGAUAGUGAACCAGUACCGUGAGGGAAAGGCGAAAAGAACCCCUGUGAGGGGAGUGAAAUAGAUCCUGAAACCGCAUGCAUACAAGCAGUGGGAGCACCUUCGUGGUGUGACUGCGUACCUUUUGUAUAAUGGGUCAGCGACUUAUAUUCAGUAGCGAGGUUAACCGUAUAGGGGAGCCGUAGAGAAAUCGAGUCUUAAUAGGGCGUUUAGUUGCUGGGUAUAGACCCGAAACCAGGCGAUCUAUCCAUGAGCAGGUUGAAGGUUGGGUAACACUAACUGGAGGACCGAACCCACUGUCGUUGAAAAGCCAGGGGAUGACUUGUGGAUAGGGGUGAAAGGCUAAUCAAGCCUGGUGAUAGCUGGUUCUCCCCGAAAGCUAUUUAGGUAGCGCCUCGGACGAAUACCAUAGGGGGUAGAGCACUGUUUCGGCUAGGGGUCAUCCCGACUUACCAAACCGAUGCAAACUCCGAAUACCUAUGAGUACUAUCCGGGAGACAGACUGCGGGUGCUAACGUCCGUAGUCAAGAGGAAAACAAUCCAGACCGCCAGCUAAGGCCCCAAAAUCAUAGUUAAGUGGGAAACGAUGUGGGAAGGCAUAGACAGCUAGGAGGUUGGCUUAGAAGCAGCCACCCUUUAAAGAAAGCGUAAUAGCUCACUAGUCGAGUCGGCCUGCGCGGAAGAUGUAACGGGGCUAAAACUAUGUGCCGAAGCUGCGGAUGUAUACUUUGUAUACGUGGUAGGGGAGCGUUCUGUAAGCCGAUGAAGGUGUGUUGAGAAGCAUGCUGGAGGUAUCAGAAGUGCGAAUGCUGACGUGAGUAACGACAAAACGGGUGAAAAACCCGUUCGCCGAAAGACCAAGGGUUCCCAGUCCAACGUUAAUCGGGGCUGGGUGAGUCGACCCCUAAGGCGAGGCCGAAAGGCGUAGUCGAUGGGAAAAUGGUUAAUAUUCCAUUACUUCUGUGUAAUGCGAUGAGAGGACGGAGAAGGCUAAAUCAGCCUGGCGUUGGUUGUCCAGGUGAAAGGAUGUAGGCAUGUAUCUUAGGCAAAUCCGGGGUACUCUAUGCUGAGAUCUGAUAGCAAGCUGUACUUGUACAGCGAAGUGGUUGAUGCCAUGCUUCCAGGAAAAGUCUCUAAGCUUCAGUUACACAGGAAUCGUACCCGAAACCGACACAGGUGGUCAGGUCGAGUAGACCAAGGCGCUUGAGAGAACUCUGCUGAAGGAACUAGGCAAAAUGGUACCGUAACUUCGGGAGAAGGUACGCUGUUGUUGGUGAUGGAACUCGCUUCCUGAGCUGACGACAGCCGCAGAAACCAGGCCGCUGCAACUGUUUAUUAAAAACAUAGCACUCUGCAAACACGAAAGUGGACGUAUAGGGUGUGAUGCCUGCCCGGUGCUGGAAGGUUAAUUGAUGGGGUUAGCGUAAGCGAAGCUCUUGAUCGAAGCCCCAGUAAACGGCGGCCGUAACUAUAACGGUCCUAAGGUAGCGAAAUUCCUUGUCGGGUAAGUUCCGACCUGCACGAAUGGCAUAAUGAUGGCGGCGCUGUCUCCAGCAGAGGCUCAGUGAAAUCGAAAUCGCUGUGAAGAUGCAGUGUACCCGCGGCUAGACGGAAAGACCCCGUGAACCUUUACUGCAGCUUGACACUGAACUUUGACCUUACUUGUGUAGGAUAGGUGGGAGGCUUUGAAGCUGGAACGCUAGUUCCAGUGGAGCCGUCCUUGAAAUACCACCCUGGUAAUGUUGAGGUUCUAACUCUGUCCCGUGAUCCGGGACGAGGACCGUGUCUGGUGGGUAGUUUGACUGGGGCGGUCUCCUCCUAAAGAGUAACGGAGGAGUACGAAGGUGCGCUCAGCGUGGUCGGAAAUCACGCGUAGAGUAUAAAGGCAAAAGCGCGCUUAACUGCGAGACCCACAAGUCGAGCAGGUACGAAAGUAGGUCUUAGUGAUCCGGUGGUUCUGUAUGGAAGGGCCAUCGCUCAACGGAUAAAAGGUACUCUGGGGAUAACAGGCUGAUACCGCCCAAGAGUUCAUAUCGACGGCGGUGUUUGGCACCUCGAUGUCGGCUCAUCUCAUCCUGGGGCUGAAGCAGGUCCCAAGGGUAUGGCUGUUCGCCAUUUAAAGAGGUACGCGAGCUGGGUUUAGAACGUCGUGAGACAGUUCGGUCCCUAUCUACCGUGGGCGCUGGAAAUUUGAGAGGAUCUGCUCCUAGUACGAGAGGACCAGAGUGGACGAACCUCUGGUGUACCGGUUGUGACGCCAGUCGCAUCGCCGGGUAGCUAUGUUCGGAAGGGAUAACCGCUGAAAGCAUCUAAGCGGGAAGCCUACCUCAAGAUAAGAUUUCCCUAGGACUUUAUGUCCUCUAAAGAGCCGUUCGAGACUAGGACGUUGAUAGGUUGGAUGUGGAAGCAUAGUGAUAUGUGAAGCUGACCAAUACUAAUUGCUCGUGAGGCUUGACUAU
rnacentral:rRNA from 1 species